CAUCGGAUUUUGCUUUAAAUAGGGAGUAUCUGGAUUGCUCUGAGCACUUGCAUUUUCGCUACCAACAAGAGUGGUAACAAGUCAAUCAUGUACCAAGUAUUCUUCGGACUGUUGCUAACGUCUAUGCUUCUGGGAGUCUUCGGAUAUCCGACUCAUUUCGAUUCGGCAUUUUCGGCGUUUGAUGGAGAUCUAGGACAUUUGCACUAUCCUCACGACUACUAUGGCCAUGGUCACUAUGCGCGCGGCUUUGGACACUACAACCAUCACUUUGGUCAUCCCUAUUAUUCAGAUUUUUAGGCCUCACUAUCUAAUCCACUGACGCAAACCAAUACACCAUGGAAACACAUGAAAAUUUUUAAAUUGAAACAGCUUGGCUUGGCACGUUUUAAGAGGAAUCUUCCUUUUCAGAAUGUGUAUAUUAAAAUUUUUGAUUUGUUACACUCUGUUGGAUAUAAAUUAAAGGAAAUAAAAAUCAAAAUUUACACGG